GACGAACGCUGGCGGCGUGCUUAACACAUGCAAGUCGAACGGAAAGGCCCUGCUUUUGUGGGGUGCUCGAGUGGCGGACGGGUGAGUAACACGUGAGUAACCUGCCCUUGACUUUGGGAUAACUUCAGGAAACUGGGGCUAAUACCGGAUAGGAGCUCCUGCUGCAUGGUGGGGGUUGGAAAGUUUCGGCGGUUGGGGAUGGACUCGCGGCUUAUCAGCUUGUUGGUGGGGUAGUGGCUUACCAAGGCUUUGCCGGGUAGCCGGCCUGAGAGGGUGACCGGCCACAUUGGAACUGAGAUACGGCCCAGACUCCUACGGGAGGCAGCAGUGGGGAAUAUUGCACAAUGGGCGGAAGCCUGAUGCAGCAACGCCGCGUGCGGGAUGACGGCCUGCGGGUUGUAAACCGCUUUCGCCUGUGACGAAGCGUGAGUGACGGUAAUGGGUAAAGAAGCACCGGCUAACUACGUG
rnacentral:rRNA from 1 species